GCUACGGGAGUCAGCAGUGAGGAAUAUUGGUCAAUGGGCGCGAGCCUGAACCAGCCAAGUAGCGUGAAGGAUGACUGCCCUACGGGUUGUCAACUUCUUUUAUAAAGGAAUAAAGUGAGGCACGUGUGCCUUUUUGUAUGUACUUUAUGAAUAAGGAUCGGCUAACUCCGUGCCAGCAGCAGCGGUAAUACGGAGGAUCCGAGCGUUAUCCGGAUUUAUUAGGUUUAAAGGGAGCGUAGAUGGGUUGUUAAGUCAGUUGUGAUAGUUUGCGGCUCAACCGUAAAAUUGCAAUUGAUACUGGCAGCCGUGAGGACAGUUGAGGUAGGCGGAAUUCGUGGUGUAGCGGUGGAAUGCUUAGAUAUCACGAAGAACUCCGAUUGCGAAGGCAGCCUACUAAACUGCCACUGACAUUGAUGCUCGAAAGUGUGGGUAUCAAACAGGAUUAGAUACCCUUGUAGUC
rnacentral:rRNA from 1 species